CUCCUGUGGACACUUCCCCCCCACCCGAGGGAGAAAGGGAAAAAUGUUUGGAUAUAAGGAGAAUGUAUAGCACACACCAGGAUGGUGGGGGGACCAGAGUGACGGAUCCCCAAACUGGCUGAGAAGUAUUAAAGGUGCUUUUCAUACAUAAUUGUAUUUAAUUAUCGAAAACAUCCUGGAAUGUUGUGGUUAUUUACUUAGUUGACAGAUGAGGAAGCAAACAUGGAAAGACCGGCUCAAGGUGGUAUCACUAGGCAGUGUGAGAGCUGGUCUGUUAGGCUGCAAAGCCUGCGACGACGGUUUUGCUCAGCUCCGCCCCUUGAAGCAAGGGGAGGGGGCAGUUUAGUGGGGGGGGACUUUGCUCGUGUGGCUCUCUUAUAAAAGCUGGACGCAGGGCCUGCUGAGGGUGUUGUCUGUGAAGGAGAAAGGUGGGGCUCCUGCCCUUUGCCUCUGCCUUCUUCCCAGUGGUCCCCUGGUCAGGUCUCGGGUGAAGCAGGGUGGUGGAGGGGAGGAUGGGGUGGAUACAAAGCACGUGUUUCCCAAGAAAUACUUGCUCGUUGUCGUGGUGGGCAGUUCUGUUUUAUGAUGGCUCUUGUAGUAGAAGGGGCAGGAAACUUGCAUUGUUUUCACCUUCUCUCUGCCCUUCUUAUUGCACGAGGGUCAAACAUCCCACUUCCUUGUAAGCAGUAUCAGCUAUCGGUAGAUAUCCACUUGGACUCCUUGGUAGUUUUCAUCAAGGAUUGUUUUUCUGAUGAUCUCUGAAAGGUGUGUCAAAAGAUCUCAUCAUGGCCUUUUAGAAAUAACCUUUUCUGUGAGAGUAGAAAACGCUGGAAUAAGACAGGAAAAAUCUAAAAGGCCAGCCAGUAAACUGAAUUUUCUCUUUGAGGUGAAACUUUCAAACAGUCCUUAAAGCGAAUUGUUUGUUCAUUGUUUACUAAAAAAAAAAAAAAAAAAAGGAAAGAAAGAAAAAAAUCUUACGAGA